AUGAGAAACAGUUCCCAUCGAAGGAUUCGAAGCUCCGCAAUGACUCGAUAGUGUAUACUGAGGCUGCUCCGAGAAGAGAACAUUGGGGUGGAUACCAGAAAUUAUAUAACAUCCUUAUUUUUUUUAUAAGAAUAGCUGAACGGUGUAUAAUGGUCUUCCAAGAAAGCUUGUUGGUGACCUAGGUUUGUAAGAAAUUAUUAGCUGUGCUAGAAACUUGAUUGAAAACAUGGG
rnacentral:misc_RNA from 1 species